rnacentral:ncRNA from 1 species
CGGGGAUACGCAGGCUCCCCGACAGACGGCCACACCGUCCAAGCUCUGC